UACAGAGGGUGCGAGCGUUAAUCGGAAUUACUGGGCGUAAAGCGUGCGUAGACGGUUAUUUAAGUCGGAUGUGAAAGCCCCGGGCUCAACCUGGGAAUUGCAUUCGAGACUGAAUAGCUAGGGUGCGGUAGAGGGAAGCGGAAUUUCCGGUGUAGCGGUGAAAUGCGUAGAUAUCGGAAGGAACAUCAGUGGCGAAAGCGGCUUCCUGGACAGUAACUGACGCUGAGACGCGAAAGCGUGGGUAGCAAACAGG
rnacentral:rRNA from 1 species